CAUAUGAUGUUUGGUGUGUUUUGUUCUAGAAGUUUUCUGGUUAACGAACGAACGUUUGUUUGUUUGA
rnacentral:tRNA from 1 species